GCAGUCGUGGUCGAGUGGUUAAGGCGAUGGACUAGAAUUCCCAUUGGGGUCUCCUCGCACAGGGUUGAAAUCCUGUCGACUGCG
rnacentral:tRNA from 2 species